UGCCCUAGUAACGGCGAGUGAAGCGGCAACAGCUCAAAUUUGAAAUCUGGCGCAAGCCCGAGUUGUAAUUUGUAGAGGAUGCUUCUGGGUAGCGACCGAUCUAAGUUCCUUGGAACAGGACGUCAUAGAGGGUGAGAAUCCCGUAUGUGACCGGCCCGCACCCUUUACGUAGCUCCUUCGACGAGUCGAGUUGUUUGGGAAUGCAGCUCUAAAUGGGAGGUAAAUUUCUUCUAAAGCUAAAUACCGGCCAGAGACCGAUAGCGCACAAGUAGAGUGAUCGAAAGAUGAAAAGUACUUUGGAAAGAGAGUUAAAAAGCACGUGAAAUUGUUGAAAGGGAAGCGCCUGCAACCAGACUUCGCGGCAGUGUUCCGCCGGUCUUCUGACCGGUUCAUUCUCUGUCGCGAGGCCAUCAUCGUCUGGGCCCGCCGGAUAAGACCUUAGGAAUGUAGCUCACCUUCGGGGGAGUGUUAUAGCCUAGGGUGAUGCGGCGAGGCUCGGGCGAGGUCCGCGCUUCGGCAAGGAUGAUGGCGUAAUGGUUUGUCGGCGGGCCGCUCUUGAAACACGGACCAAGGGAGUCUAAACAUCUAUUCCGAGUGGUACGGGGUGUCUAAACCCCCUACAGCGUAAAUGUAAAGUGAAACGGGAGGUGGGGAACCCGCAAGGGCGCACCCAUUCGAACCGAAUCCCUGGAUGUUCCUUCGGGAUGGGAUUUUGAAGCUAAGAAGCCAUAAGCCUUUUUGGGGGAACC
rnacentral:rRNA from 1 species